rnacentral:rRNA from 1 species
UAUGUGAUCGUCUCUCGCAUAUCAAUAAGCGGAGGAAAAGAAACUAACAAGGAUUCCCCUAGUAACGGCGAGUGAAGCGGGAAGAGCUCAAAUUUGAAAUCUUAAAGGGUUUCCCUUUACGAAUUGUAGUUUAAAGAAGUGUUUUCUGUUGAGGUUUUGGUAAAAGUUCUUUGGAAUAGGACAUCAUAGAGGGUGAGAAUCCCGUAUUUGACCUUUACUUUCAACUUUGUGAUACACUUUCAAAGAGUCGGAUUGUUUGGGAAUGCAGUCCAAAAUGGGUGGUAAAUUUCAUCUAAAGCUAAAUAUUGGCGAGAGACCGAUAGCGAACAAGUACCGUGAGGGAAAGAUGAAAAGAACUUUGAAAAGAGAGUUAAACAGUACGUGAAAUUGUCAAAAGGGAAGCGUUUGACACCAGUGUUGUUUUUCUGAAAAUCAAUUAAAGAACUGUUUAUGCUAAGCUGUUUAGACUUUAUCAGCUAAUCUGUUUAGUUUUGAGCUUUUCUUUAAUGCACUUUUCAGUUAACAAGUCAACAUCAAUUUCUUUUGCUGUAAAAAAGCUUGAGGAAGGUGGCUUGAGAUUCGUCUUAAGUGUUUAUAGCCUCUUGCCUAUGCAGUCGGAGAGAUUGAGGUCUGCAGCGUAGAUCCUUCGGGGCUAAAUGCAUUUGUGCUAAGUUAUAGCAUUUUAUAGACAACUUGUUGACUAUGAUUUGUCUUGUAGCUUACUCGCUUAUGUUAUUUUACCUACGCUUAGGAUGUUGACGCGCGUGUGUGCGUG